GUGGAGGAGAAUGGACUGGUGGGGGUGGAGAGUACACUGGUGGUGGUGGAGGUGGAGAUUGUACUGGUGGUGGUGGUGAGUAGACUGGUGGUGGAGGAGAAUGGACUGGUGGGGGUGGAGAGUACACUGGUGGUGGUGGAGGUGAAUGGACUGGUGGUGGUGGAGAUGAAUGGACUGGUGGGGGUGGAGAGUACACUGGUGGUGGUGGAGGUGAAUGGACUGGUGGUGGUGGAGAUGAAUGGACUGGUGGGGGUGGAGAGUACACUGGUGGUGGUGGAGGUGAAUGGACUGGUGGUGGUGGAGAUGAAUGGACUGGUGGGGGUGGAGAGUAAACUGGUGGUGGUGGAGGUGAAUGUACCGGUGGGGGUGGAGAGUAAACUGGUGGUGGUGGAGGUGAAUGUACCGGUGGGGGUGGAGAGUAUACUGGUGGUGGAGGUGAAUGGACAGGUGGGGGUGGAGAGUUAAUUGGCGACG
rnacentral:lncRNA from 1 species